ACUGCGCAGCUCUCCGGAGCCCGUAAGGAAACCCAAGGAGCGAAAAGGCUUGCAUUGCUCAAGAAACCGAACUCAUUUAAAAACUGCAAUGAUGAAUGAAAUCACGAAAUGAAAGGAAUGACUUCACGCGCAAAUAUAAUACAAUGCAAUACGAUAGUAGAGUCCAUCGUUUGGACAGCUGUAUCACAAGAGCUAAACAUCUGUGUUCUCUCGUCAAAUUGUUACCGGGCUACAGAUUGUGGACCACUGACAAAGGAAUGACAUCAGAUGCAGCAGAGGUUGGGGCUGCAGGCCGCGCGCUGCCUCUGUACGCCAGCUGAGCUUCAGAGCGGCUCUUGCACGCCCCACAUGGCCUGAUAGGGAAACACGAGGAACUUCAAUACCACCGCUGAGCUAACAGGCAGAACCAUGUGGUCGUUAGUCAAGGUCACAUUCAGGAGGGGAUUAACCCCAUAUCUAUGAGAGGGCUACAGACGGCAGGGGCUCGCCGCACUGGGACGGCCAUCUUUCUGAGAGUCGCGACGAGGCAGGGGGAGAGACAAGCGCAUUUUCUUUUGCCUGUGCUGGACAACGCGGUAAGUGACAUAGGCAGCCUCCUAGGGCACUGUCUCCUGAGGGGGCACCGAAUUAGCAAAGCAGUGAAGGUUCGAACAUAUACAUAGGGUUCGAACGUAUAUGCCACGGGCAACGUGA